UGCCUUAUCAAGGUAAGGCCACAUGGCCAGUAAAAAUUUAUUUAACCAAUCCACUCGAUCGUAAUCAGGGCUUUUCACCCACAAUGGAAUUUCAGGCAUUAGAUCUUGCAAAGUAGUUGUGUCUAACUCCAAGAGAGGCCUCGUAUCUGGUUCCUUAACAUCUUUAGGCACGGAGUAAACGAAGAUGAAGAAUCCGGCCAAUAGUCCAAGAGGAAGUCCGAUUCCGAAGCCGAGAAAUCCGAAUACGGUGCUGAAG
rnacentral:misc_RNA from 1 species